UCUAUGUCUUCGAUGUUUUUAAUGUUUUUAUCUUUACUUUUCAUCUAGUUAUUAACUUCUUUUUAUUUGUCUUUCACACUGUCUAUGUAAAGCCCCCCGGAAAACGUCCCAGUUCAACGAAUCUAUAUCUAGGCGUGUGAGAAUCCUUGUUAAAUGACGUUUAACUAAAACUCUGAGGUGUGAAG